UGAAAAGCCAGUGGCGCGAAG
rnacentral:siRNA from 1 species